rnacentral:rRNA from 1 species
AGAGUUUGAUCCUGGCUCAGGAUAAACGCUGGCGGCGUGCCUAAAACAUGCAAGUCGAACGGAUGGCUUCGGCCAUCAGUGGCGAACGGCUGAGUAACGCGUGGGUGACCUUCCUUUGAGUGGGGAAUAACUGCCCGAAAGGGUAGCUAAUACCGCAUGUGGUCGUCGGAGCAUACCGGCGAGCAAAGUCGCAAGACGCUCGAAGCUGGGCCCGCGUCCGAUUAGCUUGUUGGUGGGGUAAUGGCCUACCAAGGCGACGAUCGGUAGCUGGUCUAAGAGGAUGAUCAGCCAGACUGGGACUGCGACACGGCCCAGACUCCUACGGGAGGCAGCAGUUAGGAAUUUUGGGCAAUGGGCGGAAGCCUGACCCAGCAACGCCGCGUGGGGGACGAAGGCCUUCGGGUUGUAAACCCCUUUUCCAAGGGAAGAUAGUGACGGUACCUUGGGAAUAAGCCCCGGCUAACUACGUGCCAGCAGCCGCGGUAAUACGUAGGGGGCUAGCGUUGUCCGGAUUCAUUGGGCGUAAAGCGCACGCAGGCGGCUUGGUAAGUCAUCGGUGAAAUCCCCCGGCUCAACCGGGGGGGGGUCCGGCGAAACUGCCAGGCUUGAGGUCGGGAGGGGGAAGCGGAAUUCCGGGUGUAGUGGUGGAAUGCGUAGAUAUCCGGAGGAACACCAGUGGCGAAGGCGGCUUCCUGGCCCGAAUCUGACGCUGAGGUGCGAAAGCGUGGGGAGCGAUCCGGAUUAGAUACCCGGGUAGUCCACGCCCUAAACGUUGAGUACUAGGUGUCGGGGGUAUCGACCCCCCCGGUGCCGUAGCUAACGCAUUAAGUACUCCGCCUGGGGACUACGGCCGCAAGGCUAAAACUCAAAGGAAUUGACGGGGGCCCGCACAAGCAGCGGAGCGUGUGGUUUAAUUCGAUGCAACGCGAAGAACCUUACCCAGGCUUGACAUGUACGUGGUAGGAAGCCGAAAGGUGACCGACCCGCAAGGGAGCGUGCACAGGUGCUGCAUGGCUGUCGUCAGCUCGUGCCGUGAGGUGUUGGGUUAAGUCCCGCAACGAGCGCAACCCUCGCUGCCAGUUACCAUGUCUGGCGGGACCGCCGGGUUUAACCCGGAGGAAGGUGGGGAUGACGUCAAGUCAGCACGGCCCUUACGUCUGGGGCUACACACACGCUACAAUGGCCGGUACAAUGGGCUGCCAAGGGGCGACCCGGAGCGAAUCCCAUCAAAGCCGGUCUCAGUUGGGAUCGGGGGCUGCAACUCGCCCCCGUGAACGCGGAGUUGCUAGUAACCGCAGGUCAGCACACUGCGGUGAAUACGUUCCCGGGCCUUGUACACACCGCCCGUCACGUCAUGAAAGUUGGAAACGCCUGAAGCCGGUGGCCUAACCGCAAGGGGGGAGCCGUCGAGGGCGGAGCCAGCGAUUGGGACGAAGUCGUAACAAGGUA